UGCCAGCAGCCGCGGUAAUACGGAGGGUGCAAGCGUUGUUCGGAAUUAUUGGGCGUAAAGGGCGCGCAGGCGGUCUUGUCCGUCAGGUGUGAAAGCUCGGGGCUCAACCCCGGAAGUGCACUUGGAAACUGGCGAACUUGAGUACGGGAGAGGAAAGUGGAAUUCCGAGUGUAGGGGUGAAAUCCGUAGAUAUUCGGAGGAACACCAGUGGCGAAGGCGGCUUUCUGGACCGAUACUGACGCUGAGACGCGAAAGCGUGGGGAGCAAACAGGAUUAGAUA
rnacentral:rRNA from 1 species